rnacentral:rRNA from 1 species
UAUGUAAGCAGACAGUUUUCUUGUUCUUGCUUUCAUAUUUUUAUGUUUUUAGCACUUUGGAAAGAGAGUUAAACAGUACGUGAAAUUGUUGAAAGGGAAACGAUUGAAGUCAGUCGUGUUCUUUGGAUUCAGCUAGUUCUUCUAGUCUACUUCCAUUGAACGGGUCAACAUCAGUUUUGUCCGGUGGAUAAAGAUAGUAGGAAUGUAGCUCCCCCGGGAGUGUUAUAGACUAUUAUUGCAUACACUGGGUGAGACUGAUGACUGCAG